GUUUUUUAUUUUUUUUUUUUUCAUCGAGCUACAUGGUUUGUCCUCGUAUCACGCCCCGUUGACAUAUCUUCCAGUCAAAAUAAUCUACUGACAUUGAAGGAUGAUGUCAUCAUGUGUAUACUUCUACAUGCAUUGUUUAAUUACAGAUAUAUUGCUUGACAGAAAAUGCGACUCUCGCUCAAGUUGACGAUAAUCAAGAGUUGGAAUUCCUCAGGAAACUAGUCAAGCGAUUUCCUACAGCACCAGCAAGCAGACAUUAUUACUGGAUUGACGGUGUGCGUACUCAUGAUAACCAUUGGGUAAGAAACCUUGACCGCAAUUCUCUUACUUUCUUCUCCUGGGGUACCGGUGAGCCAAAACCCAGUUUCGGCGGAGAAAACUGCUUAGCAUUAUAUAACCAUGUGGAUUUCUUCUUUGCGGACACUUCUUGUCACGAUAACGGCCAGUACAUCUGCGAACUGAGUGACCCCGUUCAGUCCUGCGUACAUACCACGCCCCUACCUACUGCUGACACGAAUGGUUCAUGGAUCCCACUGGGCUGAUCGGGUAAUCUUCAUCGCAUAAUCUUUGUACUGGUAAACAUAAUUUUGUAAAGGAAUAAAUGAACGGUACCAUAA